rnacentral:rRNA from 1 species
GAUGAACGCUGGCGGCAUGCUUAACACAUGCCAGUCGGACGGGGAGUGGUGUUUCCAGUGGCGGGCGGGUGAGUAACGCGUAAGAACCUGCUAUUGGGAGGGGAACAACAGCUGGAAACGGGUACUAAUACCCCAUAGUCUGGGGAGCACAAGGAAGAAUCCGCCCAAGGAAGGGCUGGCGUGUGAUUGGUUAGUUGGCGAGGCAAUGGCUUACCAAGGCGACGAGCAGUAGCUGGUACGAGAGGAGGAUCAGCCACACUGGGACUGAGACACGGCGCAGACUCCUACGGGGGGCAGCAGGGGGGAAUUUUCCGCAAUGGGCGAGAGCGUGACGGGGCAAUGCCGCGUGAGGGCAGAAGGCCCACGGGUCAUGAACUUCUUUUCUCGGAGAAGAAAAAAUGACGGUAGCUGAGGAAUAAGCAUCGGCUAACUCUGUG